rnacentral:lncRNA from 1 species
CAUUCUUCCAAGUAUCAAGAAAGGGAGCCCUUGCUUCCCUGGAAGAUAUUACGUCCCAGCAAUUCCUCUCCAGUUCCAUGUGACCAUUCCUACUCUGAACCAGUUUUUGAAAGGAAGUCAUCUCACAUGCCACCUUGGAAGGCAGAGAAAUACAGAUAAUCAGUCAUCUCACAUGCCACCUUGGAAGUCAGAGAAACACAGAUAAUCA